UUGAAAUGAUCCACAAAGGCUGAUGACAGACAUUUAUUUUAUCCUGGACAGAAAAUAGUGUUUUUUCUACCACUACAGGACAACCUGUGGGAAUCUGAUCCCAGGAGUCUCCUGGGUGAAUUUGAGUGAUUCGAGUGCGACAGCAAGUGAGCUAGUCGGCCAGCAGAGAGAUGAUGAUGUUGCGACUAAACAAGAUAAGUUUAGAGGAUUUGCGGUCAGAAAUCUCAAACCAAUCUCCACGUCACAAUCUGACAGAAUCACUCGAUUCAGCGAGGCUUUAGAAUCUAGAAGGAGAAAAGUUUGUCUGUUCUGUCUUCUUCGAAAGGUUUUAAACACCAGUGUGACUGGAAAAGCACCGAGACUCACACACCCGAGUGAGAGUGUUCCAGUGCACUGACUGUGGAAAGAGCUUUAACCAGUUACUCAGCCUGAAAAAAUCAUCGCACCAUUCACAGUGAGGAGAGACAUUAUACAUGUUCUGUGUGUGGACAAGGCUGCAACUGAUUGUCAGACCUGGACACACACAAGGACUCCUGCACCAUGGAGAUGUGGAGACUGUGGGAAGGGAUUCAAAUACCCAUCUCAAGGCUCAUCGACACAGUCACACUGGGGAGAGGCCAUUCAUCUGCUCUGUGUGUGGGAAGGGAUCCACUCAUUCAUCCACCCUGCAGAGGCACCAGCAAAUUCACACUGGGAAGUGGCCAUUUGCCUGCUCUGAGUGUGGGAACAGAUUCAGACAGUUUUCCAGCCUGCAGUAACACCAACGAUUUCACACUGGGGAGAAGAUAUCGUUCACCUGCUCUGUGUGUGCGAAAGGAUUCGCUCACUCAUCCAACCUGCAGACACACCAGCAAAUUCACACCAAGGAGAGGACGUUCACCUGCUCUGAGUGUGGAAAGGGAUUCAGUCAUCUGACCUGCAGAAACACAAGUGAGUUCACACCAGGGAGAGGCCGUUCACCUGCUCUGACUUUGGGAAGGGAUUCACUCUUGCUAAGACACCAACGAGUUCACAAGUGAUUACAGGGUUUGGAUUCU